rnacentral:ncRNA from 1 species
UCGCCCACAAUCUGUUAAAUGGUUUCAACACGGAUGUAUUGGGGCGCGCUGUGCGACAGCCGCGUGUUUCCGGUGGUCAGCUUUGGUCGAAGCUAAAAUUGGGGCAUCCCUGUUGGGAUCGUUUCUUUGAGUGUACUCGCUCGAAAACAUUCCACGUUUGGUCUCCUCGCGCUAACCCCGUAGCGUGUGGUUUUUAGUGGGCUCCAGGCCCGCUUUUUUCU